GUGUCAGUGGUGUACCGGUAACAUUGGGUCUUCCCACCUUUCAGGCGAUUGGCCUAGCACCGGGUUCGACUCCCGGCUGACGCA